rnacentral:piRNA from 1 species
UUCCUUACUCACUGGGAAUUUCCUUUCCCAUU